rnacentral:tRNA from 1 species
UUUCUAUGGUGUAAAACACAUUGCUUUUUCGUAGCAAAACUGAAAAAAUUUUUCUAGAAAUU